rnacentral:rRNA from 1 species
GACGAACGCUGGCGGCGUGCCUAAUACAUGCAAGUAGAACGCUGAAGGAGGAGCUUGCUCUUCUGGAUGAGUUGCGAACGGGUGAGUAACGCGUAGGUAACCUGCCUGGUAGCGGGGGAUAACUAUUGGAAACGAUAGCUAAUACCGCAUAACAGUAGAUGUUGCAUGACAUUUGCUUAAAAGGUGCAAUUGCACCACUACCAGAUGGACCUGCGUUGUAUUAGCUAGUUGGUGGGGUAACGGCUCACCAAGGCGGCGAUACAUAGCCGACCUGAGAGGGGGAUCGGCCACACUGGGACGGUGACACGCCCCAUACUCCUACGGGAGGCAGCAGUAGGGAAUCUUCGGCAAUGGGCGGAAGUCUUACCGAGCAACGCCGCGUGAGUGAAGAAGGUUUUCGGAUCGUAAAGCUCUGUUGUAAGAGAAGAACGAGUGUGAGAGUGGAAAGUUCACACUGUGACGGUAUCUGACCAGAAAGGGACGGCUAACUACGUG